GUGGGGAAUAUUGGACAAUGGGCGAAAGCCUGAUCCAGCCAUGCCGCGUGUGUGAAGAAGGUCUUCGGAUUGUAAAGCACUUUAAGUUGGGAGGAAGGGCAGUAAGUUAAUACCUUGCUGUUUUGACGUUACCGACAGAAUAAGCACCGGCUAACUUCGUGCCAGCAGCCGCGGUAAUACGAAGGGUGCAAGCGUUAAUCGGAAUUACUGGGCGUAAAGCGCGCGUAGGUGGUUUUGUAAGUUGGAGGUGAAAUCCCCGGGCUCAACCUGGGAACUGCAUUUGUGACUGUAUAGCUAGAGUACGGUAGAGGGGGAUGGAAUUCCGCGUGUAGCAGUGAAAUGCGUAGAUAUAGGAAGGAACACCAGUGGCGAAGGCGACCACCUGGACUGAUACUGACACUGAGGUGCGAAAGCGUGGGGAGCAAACAGGAUUAGAAACCCGUGUAGUCC
rnacentral:rRNA from 1 species